rnacentral:lncRNA from 1 species
CCUAAAUUCUAAACCCAAAUCCAAACUCCUAAACCCAAACCCUAUAUCCUUAACCCUAGAUCCUGAACCCAAAUUAUAUACCCUAAACCCAAAAACUAGACUAUAAACCUAAACUCUAUACCCUAAACUCAAGUCCUAGACCUUAAACCCAAACCGUAAACCUUAAACCCAAAUUAUAUACCUUAAACCCAAAACUUUA